UCAGACUCAGCCUAUCACUAGAAGUAUCACAAGGAAGAUCAUAAUCAUUAGUCUCUAACUCUGUGAAAUCAACUGACACUAGAUCUGGCUCAUCUAUAGAAAUUUCAGGUAGUAAAUUUUGUGUGCAGCUGCCAUUAACACAACUGAUGAUUUAUGACAAGCAGUACUUGCUUAUUUAUAGAUCUAUACAUGAGGCAAGAAAGAAAGGAGAGAUGCUUGACGCUUGGUUGCCAUUGCAAGAAAUGAUUACAAAAUUAACAUUCAAAAUAUUCAUGAAAAGUUAAUUUUAAUAACAAUAAUAAUUAAUUUUAAUGAUUAUUAUGACUUCCUUUUCCUGUCAAAACUUUAGGGUGGGCAUUGCCCCUUAAUGCCCACCCCUGGAACCGCCUAUGUUUGUUGCCCUUCCUUUUUUGCUGUACAAUCAGUUAACUUCUUUUCUCAAUCGUUCUGAUGUACAUGAAGAUCUUGGAGUUGGUACACACCAAUGGCAAAUGUGUAGUGAACUGGUUGAAAAGAAUCUCAUUAAUGAUGAAGUUUUGAGCUUCAAGUCUGCCCUUUCAAUGGUUUUACAAGAAAAGAAAAGAGUGUUGAUAUACAGUGGGAAAUGGGACUAUGUCUGCAAUUACUUUGGAGGAAGAGCAUGGGCUAAACUAGUGGAAUGGGAAG